UACGUAGGGGGCUAGCGUUGUCCGGAAUCAUUGGGCGUAAAGCGCGUGUAGGCGGUCCGGUAAGUCCGCUGUGAAAGUCGGGGGCUCAACCCUCGGAUGCCGGUGGAUACUGUCGGGCUUGAGUACGGAAGAGGCGAGUGGAAUUCCUGGUGUAGCGGUGAAAUGCGCAGAUAGUCAAGGAGGAACACCAAUUGCGAAGGCAGCUCGCUGGGACGUUACUGACGCUGAGACGCGAAAGCGUGGGGAGCAAACAGG
rnacentral:rRNA from 1 species